UACAGAGACUGCAAGCGUUUAUUCGGAUUCACUGGGCGUAAAGGGUGCGCAGGCGGCCAAGUGUGUGAGGCGUGAAAGCCCGGGGCUUAACCCCGGAAUUGCACCUCAAACUACUUGGCUAGAGCAUUGGAGAGGGUAGCAGAAUUCAUGGUGUAGCAGUGAAAUGCGUAGAUAUCAUGAGGAAUACCAGAGGCGAAGGCGGCUACCCUGGACAAUUGCUGACGCUCAGGCACGAAAGCGUGGGGAGCAAAAGGG
rnacentral:rRNA from 1 species